rnacentral:rRNA from 1 species
CGUAACGCGUAUGCAAUCUACCUUGUACUGGAGUAUAGCCCAGGGAAACUUGGAUUAAUCCUCCAUAGUCUAUAUUAAUGGCAUCAUUUUAUAUAGUAAAGGUUACGGUACAAGAUGAGCAUGCGUCCUAUUAGCUAGUAGGUGUGGUAACGGCACACCUAGGCAACGAUAGGUAGGGGUCCUGAGAGGGAGAUCCCCCACACUGGUACUGAGACACGGACCAGACUCCUACGGGAGGCAGCAGUGAGGAAUAUUGGACAAUGGGCGCAAGCCUGAUCCAGCCAUGCCGCGUGCAGGAAGACUGCCCUAUGGGUUGUAAACUGCUUUUAUACGGGAAGAAUAAGUGUUACGUGUAGCACGAUGACGGUACCGUAAGAAUAAGCACCGGCUAACUCCGUGCCAGCAGCCGCGGUAAUACGGAGGGUGCAAGCGUUAUCCGGAAUCAUUGGGUUUAAAGGGUCCGUAGGUGGACUAAUAAGUCAGUGGUGAAAGUCUGCAGCUUAACUGUAGAAUUGCCAUUGAUACUGUUAGUCUUGAAUUGUUGUGAAGUAACUAGAAUAUGUAGUGUAGCGGUGAAAUGCAUAGAUAUUACAUAGAAUACCGAUUGCGAAGGCAGGUUACUAACAAUAUAUUGACACUGAUGGACGAAAGC